GAGGGUAUAACUCAGUGGUAAAGUGCGUGCUUAGCGUGUACAAGGUCCUGAGUUCAAUCCCCAGUACUGCCA
rnacentral:tRNA from 1 species